UGGGGAAUUUUGGACAAUGGGCGAAAGCCUGAUCCAGCAAUGCCGCGUGUGUGAAGAAGGCCUUCGGGUUGUAAAGCACUUUUGUCCGGAAAGAAAGUCCUUGGCUCUAAUACAGUCGGGGGAUGACGGUACCGGAAGAAUAAGCACCGGCUAACUACGUGCCAGCAGCCGCGGUAAUACGUAGGGUGCAAGCGUUAAUCGGAAUUACUGGGCGUAAAGCGUGCGCAGGCGGUUUGCUAAGACCGAUGUGAAAUCCCGGGCUCAACCUGGGAACUGCAUUGGCUGACUGGGCAGGCUAGAGUAUGGCAGAGGGGGGUAGAAUUCCACGUGUGAGCAGUGAAAUGCGUAGAGAUGUGGAGGAAUACCGAUGGNGAAGGCAGCCCCCUGGGCAAUACUGACGCUCAUGCACGAAAGCGUGGGGAGCAAACAGGAUUAGAUACCCUGGUAGUCCACGCCCU
rnacentral:rRNA from 1 species